CAGAGACUGCAAGCGUUAUUCGGAUUCACUGGGCGUAAAGGGUGCGCAGGUGGCCAGGUGUGUUAGGCGUGAAAGCCCGGGGCUUAACCCCGGAAUUGCACCUAAAACUACUUGGCUAGAGCAUUGGAGAGGGGAGCAGAAUUCAUGGUGUAGCAGUGAAAUGCGUAGAUAUCAUGAGGAAUACCAGAGGCGAAGGCGGCUCCCUGGACAAUUGCUGACACUCAGGCACGAAAGCGUGGGGAGCAAAAGGGAUUAGAUACCCCUGUAGUCCACGCCCUAAACGGUGCACACUAGGUCUUGGCCGGAUUCGACCCCCCCAGGGCCCAAGCUAACGCGUUAAGUAGUGCCGCCUGAGGGACUACGGCCGCAAGGCUA
rnacentral:rRNA from 1 species